UACGUAGGCAGCAAGCGUUGUUCGGAGUUACUGGGCGUAAAGGGUGCGUAGGCGGCUUGGUAAGUGUGGUGUGAAAUCUCCCGGCUCAACUGGGAGGGUGCGCUACAAACUGCCGGGCUAGAGUGCGGGAGAGGAGAGUGGAAUUCCUGGUGUAGCGGUGAAAUGCGUAGAUAUCAGGAGGAACACCGGUGGUGUAAACGGCUCUCUGGACCGUAACUGACGCUGAGGAGCGAAAAGCGUGGGGAGCGAACAGG
rnacentral:rRNA from 1 species